CCCUUUGUUGUGUAGUGGGAAGUAUCCCCGCCUGUUAUGCGGGAGACCGGGGUUCCAUUCCCCGCUGAGAAA
rnacentral:tRNA from 1 species